rnacentral:tRNA from 1 species
AGUUAAUAAGUUUUAGUAAACAUAUACUUUGAAAGUAUAAUUAAAAGGUUUAAUUCCUUUAUUAACUU